rnacentral:rRNA from 1 species
CGGGACGCUGCAGCAGUCAGGAAUAUUCCGCAAUGGACGAAAGUCUGACGGAGCGACGCCGCGUGCAGGAAGAAGCCCUUCGGGGUGUAAACUGCUUUUAUGUGGGAAGAAUUUGUGACGGUACCACAUGAAUAAGAGGUUGCUAACUCUGUGCCAGCAGCAGCGGUAAUACAGAGACCUCAAACGUUGUCCGGAUUCAUUGGGCGUAAAGCGUCCGCAGGUUGUUUGGAAAGUUAUUGGUCAAAUCCUGAUGCUCAACAUCAGGACUGCUGAUAAUACUAUCAGACUUGAGGCUGGGAGAGGCAAGCGGAACUAUCGGUGUAGUCGUAAUAAGCGCUGAUAUCGAUAGGAACACCAAAGGCAAAGGCAGCUUGCUAGAACAUGCCUGACACUCAUGGACGAAAGCGUGGGUAGCGAAUGGGAUUAGAUACCCUAGUAGUC